CCGCCGGCGACCGGCGCACGGGUGAGUAACACGUAUGCAACCUGGCCGUGACAGAUGGAUAACCGGGAGAAAUCCCGCCUAAUACAGCAUGACGCCGGGAAGGGACAUCCCUUUCCGGCCAAAGGGGGCGACCCCGGUCACGGAUGGGCAUGCGGCGCAUUAGGUAGUUGGUGGGGGCAACGGCCCACCAAGCCGACGAUGCGUAGGGGUUCUGAGAGGAAGGUCCCCCACAUUGGAACUGAGACACGGUCCAAACUCCUACGGGAGGCAGCAG
rnacentral:rRNA from 1 species